rnacentral:rRNA from 1 species
GACGAACGCUGGCGGCGUGCCUAAUACAUGCAAGUUGAGCGCUGAAGGUUGGUACUUGUACCUACUGGAUGAGCAGCGAACGGGUGAGUAACGCGUGGGGAAUCUGCCUUUGAGCGGGGGACAACAUUUGGAAACGAAUGCUAAUACCGCAUAAAAACUUUAAACACAAGUUUUAAGUUUGAAAGAUGCAAUUGCAUCACUCAAAGAUGAUCCCGCGUUGUAUUAGCUAGUUGGUGAGGUAAAGGCUCACCAAGGCGAUGAUACAUAGCCGACCUGAGAGGGUGAUCGGCCACAUUGGGACUGGGACACGGCCCAAACUCCUACGGGAGGCAGCAGUAGGGAAUCUUCGGCAAUGGACGAAAGUCUGACCGAGCAACGCCGCGUGAGUGAAGAAGGGUUUCGGAUCGUAAAAAUCUGUUGGUAGAGAAGAACGUUGGUGAGAGUGGAAAGCGCAUCAAGUGACGGUAACUACCCAGAAAGGGACGGCUAACUACGUG